rnacentral:rRNA from 1 species
UACAGAGGGGGCAAGCGUUGUUCGGAAUUACUGGGCGUAAAGGGCGCGUAGGCGGCCUUCUAAGUCGAACGUGAAAUCCCCGGGCUCAACCCGGGAACUGCGUCCGAUACUGGAAGGCUUGAAUCCGGGAGAGGGAUGCGGAAUUCCAGGUGUAGCGGUGAAAUGCGUAGAUAUCUGGAGGAACACCCGUGGCGAAGGCGGCUCUCUGGGACGGUACUGACGCUGAGACGCGAAAGCGUGGGGAGCGAACAGG